rnacentral:tRNA from 2 species
GUCUCUGUGGCGCAAUUGGUUAGCGCGUUCGGCUGAUAACUGAAGGGUUAGUGGUUCAAGCCCACCAAGGGACG